rnacentral:rRNA from 1 species
UUAAAUUAGAGUUUGAUCCUAGCUCAGGAUGAAUGCUGGCGGCGUGGAUGAGGCAUGCAAGUCGAGUGGGUUUAGACCCACGGCAGACGAGGUAGGAACACGUAGGUACGUACCCAAAAGUCAGGGAUAUUCCGGCGAAAGUCGGCGCAAUACUUGAUGGUCCCUUCGGGGUAAAGAUUUAUCGCUUUUGGAACGGCCUGCGGGCUAUCAGCUUGUUGGUAAGGUAACGGCUUACCAAGGCUACGACGGCUAGGGGAGGUGAGAGCCUGACCCCC